UCUCGGUCCGCCUGUGAAGCUCCGCUGUCAUUUGGUCGACGGUCUUCGUUGGCUGCUCCGUUUCCUCUGUGUUUGCUCAGAAAUGGGAUAACAGAACUCGGGCAAGUUUAACCAAUUUGGGGGGAGCCGGGAACGGCUCCUCUCUGCCCCGCCCACCAUAGAGCCACCAACCUUGAUCCCCUCCUCAGCGUUAAUCUCCGGUGAAGUAUCCCAGAUUGUCCUGUACAGAUGCACGAGAGAACGAUAGACCCGUGCACUUACAAAAACGGGUUUCUGAUGAUACAAAUUUGAGAUUACGUGGACUUCGAUGCAAGUUAGUUUGGUGUUCUACCUGUGUACAGCUCUGUGCAUGAAGUUCACAAACCACCACACAUCAGUACAUCCUAAAGAAUGUAAAAAAGUACUCUCAAUCCGUACGAACGCCGAGGAAUCCCCAAUCACAAAAAUCAAGUUCCUGGUGACUCCCGCUUGUCUCCUAGGACUCUGGUGAAAGGGGCGCUCGAAGCACUCAGUUUUGCUUAUUGCGUGUAUUCUUCGCCCAUUCAUACAAUAAAUAUUCACUGAGCUCAUCCUGUGUGUCUGGCACUGUUUGAUAAAUGGAAAGACGCUGAUGGUGACUCCUUUGAUAAGAGAAGAACAGUGAACAUUUAAACAACAUCUGGAGAGAAUGAAAACAGCUUCAUUGAAGGAACUACAGGAUUGCAGAGAAGUAACGAUUGCACAUUUGAAAUUGGUGAACUUGAAAAUUAUGGUCAGAGUGGCUACCCUGUAGAGAAUGGAUCGAAGGUAAGUGGCAAAUGUGUAAGUGGAGAGACCAGUUUGGAUGCUAUUGCAGAAGUACAGCAUGGAGAUGAUAAGUGGCUUAGACUAGGGCAGGGCUGGGACUAGGGUUAGGCAAUGGAGGCCUUCACUUUGGGCACAAAAUUUAAGCAAGC